UUACCCUCACUUUGUAGGUGGGAAACCAGUGACGAGGGUUAAGUCCCUCCCUGAACCUACAUUUCACUGUAGCGAUCCUUCGCCAGCUGGGUUUCCUUUGCUUGAAAUCCAAGUGCUUUUGGACUCGCUUUUGCAUGUUUCGAGUUACUCCUGUUGGUGACCACUGUUCAGAGAAAAGCUGGCAGUUAGACUCGAGGCAGGGACAAAUCCGGAGGAUUCUGCGGCGGAGGGACAGGGAGGGGAAGCGGCUUUCCCACGUGGGCUGGCUUUCCGCGAAGGGCGGGGACUGGUGGUGCCUGGUCUGGAACGCUCACUUGCUCACUCGUGGGCACGAGUCCCGCUGGGAUCCUCUGGAAGCGGGAGGCGGGUGAGCAUCCUUCCGUCCUUUCACUAAAAGCUCCUCAAGGCAGCCCCACAGUCACGCCCCAAGUGACUGCUCUGGGGCCACGCGGUGGGAUCAGCAGUGGAGACACUAACUCUGAGACUGGAAACCUUUUUUAAAAAAAUAUAUUUUUUGUUGAUUUCAGAGAGGAAGGGAGAGGGAGAGAGUUCAUAGGUCGAUGCUCAACCACUGAGCCAGGCUGGCCAGGCUGGAGAUCUGUUAAUCUGUUAAAUGUAGCUGGGGGACCAGGCAAAGCGCACAGCAAAUGCUGCUUAGCACGUGUCCGAGCUUCGGAAGCAGAGCGAGCGUAAGGCGCCUCGCUGAACGCACGGCUGUCCCGCACACUCUCCCGUGGGCCUGAGCUGCGGGGGGCAAGUGCAAUGAACCAGCCUCAUGGCUACAGAUCCGUGUGGGAAAUGUCGCCUAUAUCGUCUGUCUCGGUCCUAAGGUCUCCUGUUUCCCAGCCUCCGAAUCCCCACCCCAGCCCUCGGUGCACGUACACAACUGAAUCUCGGCCCAGCGCUCACGUUGUUGACCUGGAGGCCAAGGACGUCGCACACGUAUUGCCAGGCCCCAGGGCGGUGUGUGCCUUGUGCUUUGGGAAGCACGGCUCUGCCCGGGGCGAGGUGGGGUGGGGAGGGGACGGCGUUCCAGCCGGUCACGGAGAAUAUGGGCUCCCUAGAAGGGGAGGCCAUCUCCCACAGAGAGCACAGCGCGGCUUGUUCGGGAGCCCCCUUGCCUGAGAUCAGGGGAGCAGGGCAAGGAGGCGACAAUCUAAUGGACCCCCGCCCCCCGGCCGCCAAGCCAUUGGCUGUAGGACUUGGGGCUCACAGUGUUAGCAGAUCUAUUUGGGGAAAUUGGCUGGUAGAGGAAUGACAGUCUUAGAAAGGAGAGCACUCUUGCCGCCCACAGGAGCCACAUGCUGAGGGCGGAGCUGGGCAGUGUCUGUCUACAGAGCUGGAGCUGCCUGGGAGUUUGAAAGCGCUCCAGUUUGAUCCACCACCACCAUUUGGAAGGCAGACAACUGAGUUCAUUCAUUAAGUUAGUUCCUUCACUGCCCAGCAGCAACUGAUGAGUAGGAAGCCUUAUGAAAUUCUCCCUUUUUAUCGUCAUCGCUAUCAUCAAAGAUAUUCAUUGACCUUCGGUUGGAUGGCGGCCCCCAGUCUCAAAGCCUUGCUGCGAGUUGGGAAAACAGACACAAAUGUAGGUCGGAGGUCAUCCACAGGAAACAGGAGGUAAUGUUUACCUUGAUCUGAAUGACUGUGGAUGGCAAUGGUGACAAAGGUAAUUACAUUUAAGUGAUAUUUUAACUUAAACAUUCCUUUGGAAAUACCUGGGAGUCACCCAGUUCAAUACAACUAUCACCCAACAUGCACGAGUUGUUCCAGAAGCAAACAGUGCUGCCGGGGGAGAGGGCCGCGCGGCUGCAAGACCGGGUCCGAACCUCUAGUCCAUAAAGGAACCCUUCCCGGCUCCUCACGCCCGCGCAUUGCGGGCAAGCCUGGCACUGGCAUCGCUUUGCCCUAAACACUUCACAGGGCACAACACGGGCAACGGAAGCUGAGCUUCUUGGAAAACAUUCUGUGAGGACUUCAUGCUGCGUGGAUUUACUCAGCUCUCAGGAACGCAGAGGCAUCUAAACGGAGGCAGUCGGCUGCGACCCAGGACACACACGCCCUUUCUAUGCCUGCGGAACAGAGCAGCUCACACUCUCCGCAGCCACACUGGGCGUCUGCUCAGGCUUCCUGAGACCCAGGAAGAGCGCUCCUCCUCCUCUAAGCAAAGCGUCCUUCUGGGGAAAGAUGUGCAGGGCGGAUUAAUACUGGCUUUUUUCCCUUCUUCUUAGGUGGCUUUGUGCCAAUGGAAGAAAAAAACACCCAAAGAUAACAAAGACCUGUAGACACCCCCAGCCCUGGGCUCGCCUCCUUUCUUUGGGCGUUAAAAGGCUCCCCUUCUGUGCGGCAAUGACAGGCCUGCCACCCCCUCCGGUGAGAUAAGGUGCCCUGGCUCAGCGCCCUGUUAGCCAUCAUUACAUCCCCGUAACCCUGCUGCCUGACCUGAUGGGCCAGGAGCCAGAGCCGGGAGGGAGAAGACACGCCCUGUGCAUUUAAGUCGAACACAGACUCUCAAACUGCCUAAAGAAACCCGCUUUUUUAUUUUUUCAAGGAUUAUGAGGGAAAAACCCCACACACAUCAAAACUAUGUUCAAAAUGUAUGAGAUAUCCCGGUAGAUUAAUGAGGCUUUGGGGCCAAUGUUCUGUAUUCUCAUGGGAAUAGACUCUCGUUUACAUUCACUGAUUUAAUUUUUUAAUUAAAAAAUUUAAAAGCUUUUGUUUUAA